CACGUAGGGGGCGAGCGUUGUCCGGAUUUAUUGGGCGUAAAGAGCUCGUAGGCGGCUCAGUAAGUCAGGUGUGAAAACUCCAGGCUCAACCUGGAGACGCCACCUGAUACUGCUGUGGCUAGAGUCCGGUAGGGGAGCAUGGAAUUCCUGGUGUAGCGGUGAAAUGCGCAGAUAUCAGGAGGAACACCGGUGGCGAAGGCGGGUCUCUGGGCCGAUACUGACGCUGGAGGAGCGAAAGCGUGGGGAGCGAACAGG
rnacentral:rRNA from 1 species